GUCUCUGUAGUGCAAUUAGUAGUGCGUUGGACUUCUAAUCCAAAUGUGGGUUCGAAUCCCACCUGGGAUG